AAAGUCCCCGACCAUUGAAGGACCAGCAAUCCACAAGGUCCCCGAGUCAUGCGUUGCAUACCGCGAGGUAUGGGGCGAAGCGUUGAUUUCGCCAGAUACGACGGCGUUCUUUGCCGUGUUUUUUGACUUUCCACUCGCCUUCACCGAAGACCU
rnacentral:ncRNA from 1 species